rnacentral:rRNA from 1 species
UAAUCGGAGAGUUUGAUCCUGGCUCAGGACGAACGCUGGCGGCGUGCUUAACACAUGCAAGUUGGGCGAGAAGCUACUUCGGGUAGUGAGUAAAGCGGCGGACGGGUGAGYAACGCGUGGGUAAUCUGCCUUUAAGUUAAGGAUAACUUCUCGAAAGGGAAGCUAAUACUUAAUAAUAGUAAAGAUGGCUUUCGUAUCGCUUAAAGAAGAGCCUGCGUCCCAUUAGCUUGUUGGUAGGGUAAAGGCCUACYAAGGCAACAAUGGUAGCCGACCUGAGAGGGUGAUCGGCUACACUGGGACUGAGACACGGCCNGNCUCCUACGGGAGGCUGCAGUGGGGAAUCUUCCGCAAUGAGCGAAAGCUUGACGGAGCAACGCUGYGUGAGUGAUGAAGGCUUCGGGUCGUAAAGCUCNGUCCUUAGGGAAGAACACCCYAGUAGAUAAUACCUGCUGGGAUUGACGGUACCUUUGGAGGAAGCCUCGGCUAAUUACGUGCCAGCAGCCGCGGUAAUACGUAAGAGGCNAGCGUUGUCCGGAAUCACUGGGCGUGAAGGGUGCGCAGGCGGUCUAGUAAGUCAAGAGUGAAAUCCAUCGGCUCAACCAGUGAACUGGGUUUGAAACUAUUAGACUUGAGGACAGGAGAAGGAAGUGGAAUUCCUAGUGUAGUGGUGAAAUACGUAGAUAUCAGGAAGAAUACCAAYGGCGAAGGCAGUCUUCUGGUCUGAUCCUGACGCUGAGGUACGAAAGCUAGAGUAUCAAACGGGAUUAGAUACCCCGGUAGUUCUAGCUGUAAACGCUGGACACUAGGUGUUGGGGGUUCAACUCCCUCGGUGCUGCAGUUAACGCGUUAAGUGUCCCGCCUGGGGAUUACGACCGCAAGGUUGAAACUCAAAGUAAUUCCCGGGGGCCGCACAAGCGGCGGAGCAUGUGGUUUAAUUCGAAGYAACGCGAAGAACAUUACCAGGGUUUGACAUCCUAUGACCAUCUAUGACCAUCUGUGAAAGCAGAGUCUGGCUCUUUGAGCANAKAGUGACAGGUGGUGCAUGGCUGUCGUCAGCUCGUGUCGUGAGAUGUUGGGUUAAGUCCCGCAACGAGCGYNACCCCUGUUCUUAGUUGCUAGCCUGUAAUGGCGGGGUCUCUAAGGCGACUGCUACAGGAAAAUGUGGAGGAAGGUGGGGAUGACGUCRAGUCAUCAUGCUCCUUAUAUCUCGGGCUACACACGUGCUACAAUGGUCUAAACAGAGGGUAGCAAUACCGCGAGGUUAAGCGAAUCUCACAAAUUAGAUCUCAGAUUGCAGAUUGCAAUUCACCUGCAUGAAGCUGGAGUCGCUAGUAAUCGUGGAUCAGAAUGCCACGGUGAAUAUGUUCUCGGGCCUUGUACACACCGCCYGUCACACCACCCGAGUUGGGGACACCAGAAGUCAUUCGCAAUAGCGANUGCCGAAGGUGGGCCUGAUAAGGGNGGUGAAGUCGUAACAAGGUAGCUGG